GACUCCGGCUCUUGGUUCUGUGGCGGGGAGACCGAGAAUGACUGCGCUUUCUCUCUCUCCUGACAGGGGAAGAUCGUCUUCUAGGGGAAGGAGAUCUGGAUUUGCGUCUAGGAUAAAAGCAAUUUUUUUCAGGUGAGAGAUUCCUUAUGAAAAUAAGAUAUCCUGUCAUAUUUACUUAAUAUGGGAAGGGCCAAAAGAAAACCAGAAAGGU